rnacentral:tRNA from 1 species
CCCCUGGUGCUCUGGUGGUCAGGAUGUGGCGCUCUCACCGCCGCGGCCCAGGUUCGAUUCCCGGUCAGGGAA